AUGCUCCAAAUCAUAAUAAAAUCCAUCCAUUACUUCAGACAGAUGAAAACAGUUCCUUCUAAAAAGAGGCUAAUGUUUUUAAAAGACAGUAAGAGAAGAAUGUCAGCUCCCCAUGGCUGCAGUAGAAAGUGCUGGAUGAGAGGAGCAUCUCCAGAGCAUGGAAGACAAAGCAGCUUUAUCCUCAACUUUUCCACCUCAAUUUCCAUUUUCCUCCAAGGCAAAACUCCCACUCCUGGCAGAUUAAAUGAAAUGAAGACACUGAGCUCUGCAAGUACACUGCUUUUUGAAUCCCAGAGUGAACUUGCUUGUCAAAUGCCUCUUUAAAAAGAAAGUGAAGAUAACUGCAAGUCAGCUGGAAGUGCUGCCAAGAUAUGACCUCCAGGAAGGCCCAGAAGACAAGUGAUAUUGUGUGGACUGCUACAGCGCAAUGUCUAACUGAUGCAAAAUGAAGAAUCAAUUUGAAAUUAAGAUGAGUAAAGGCAUCCAGCACUUACAGCAAAAAACAUUGUCAUCAGGCCCUGGGGAGAUGAGGACACCUCCCUUCCCUUCUCAGGCUCCCUUUCCCUGUCAGACUCUAGCUCUCAAAGGCUGUCAUCCUCCAAGGGUAUUCCCUACGUACUGCAUAGCAUCUCUGUUACCCUUUGAAUUCAACAGUAUUCAUCUCCUCCAACAUUCAUUCAUUCCUUUAGUCAAAAGUCAGUUGUCAAACACAAGGCACAAGUGCACAUUUAAGGAAUUCAUGGCCAAUAUUUGUCAUGUCAUUUCAUGAAUUGUCUGAGAAACAUAAAACAUACAAUG
rnacentral:lncRNA from 1 species